UACAUGGGGUGCAACCGUUGCUCGGAAUUAUUGGGCGUAAAGCGCACGUAGGCGGUUCGUUAAGUCGGAUGUGAAAGCCCUCGGCUCAACUGAGGAAGUGCACCCGAAACUGGCGAGCUUGAGUACGAAAGAGGAUCGCGGAAUUCCCGGUGUAGAGGUGAAAUUCGUAGAUAUCGGGAGGAACACCAGUGGCGAAGGCGGCCGGCUGGGGGUGACCUGACGCUGAGGCGCGAAAGCGUGGGGAGCGAACCGG
rnacentral:rRNA from 1 species